rnacentral:rRNA from 2 species
AAAUUGAAGAGUUUGAUCAUGGCUCAGAUUGAACGCUGGCGGCAGGCCUAACACAUGCAAGUCGAACGGUAACAGGAAGCAGCUUGCUGCUUCGCUGACGAGUGGCGGACGGGUGAGUAAUGUCUGGGAAACUGCCUGAUGGAGGGGGAUAACUACUGGAAACGGUGGCUAAUACCGCAUAACGUCGCAAGACCAAAGAGGGGGACCUUCGGGCCUCUUGCCAUCAGAUGUGCCCAGAUGGGAUUAGCUUGUUGGUGAGGUAACGGCUCACCAAGGCGACGAUCCCUAGCUGGUCUGAGAGGAUGACCAGCCACACUGGAACUGAGACACGGUCCAGACUCCUACGGGAGGCAGCAGUGGG